AGGCCAGACAUCAGAGUAGAAUAAAGCGGCCUUGGUCAGAAGUGGACUGUGCCAUGCCCUGUACCGUGGAGACAAAAGAGGAUUCAGAGAGAGGCGCUUCUUCAAGAACAGCUACCAAAGGCUCCAUUUGUUUGGAAUCUCUGCCUCCUGGUGAAAAGCCUGCUGAUCGUAUAAAGAAGUCUAAAGCGAAGUUAAGGGAAGAUUUUGCUCUUCAAAGAGACCGAGAGGCAUUCCUGAAUAUAGCAGAAGAGGACGGUCUUCUCACAAAGGGCGAGUGUUUAUGCCUGAGUCAGAUGAAUGAUGCACAGGAGUUUGUGGAGAGCCUGGUCAACACGGUGCUGG